CGGGGUAUAGUGCAACGGCAGCACGCAUCCUUUGGGAGGAUGUAGUCUCAGUUCGAAUCUGAGUACCCCGA
rnacentral:tRNA from 1 species